GCCAGGGUAGCUCAGUGGUAGAGCGGGGCUCUCAUAAGGCCUAGGUCGGGGGUUCAAUUCCCUCCCCUGGUA
rnacentral:tRNA from 1 species